AGUUUGAUCCUGGCUCAGGAUGAACGCUAGCUACAGGCUUAACACAUGCAAGUCGAGGGGCAUCAGGAAGUUUGCUUGCAAACUUUGCUGGCGACCGGCGCACGGGUGAGUAACGCGUAUCCAACCUGGCCCAUAGUAGGGAACAGCCCGGCGAAAGUCGGAUUAAUGCCCUAUGUUAUCCAUUGAGGACAUCUGAAUUGGAUUAAAGAUUUAUCGCUAUGGGAUGGGGAUGCGUCUGAUUAGGUAGUCGGCGGGGUAACGGCCCACCGAGCCUACGAUCAGUAGGGGUUCUGAGAGGAAGGUCCCCCACAUUGGUACUGAGACACGGACCAAACUCCUACGGGAGGCAGCAGUGAGGAAUAUUGGUCAAUGGGCGUGAGCCUGAACCAGCCAAGUAGCGUGCAGGAUGACGGCCCUAUGGGUUGUAAACUGCUUUUGCCGGGGAAUAAAGUGCCCUACGUGUAGGGUUUUGUAUGUACCCGGAGAAUAAGGACCGGCUAAUUCCGUGCC
rnacentral:rRNA from 1 species